AACUGUUUAUAAAUAGCCUCGC
rnacentral:miRNA from 1 species